rnacentral:rRNA from 1 species
AUGAACGCUGGCGGCGUGCUUAACACCUGCAAGUCGAACGGAAAGGCCAGUGCUUGCACUGGUACUCGAGUGGCGAACGGGUGAGUAACACGUGGGUGAUCUGCCCUGCACUUCGGGAUAAGCCUGGGAAACUGGGUCUAAUACCGGAUAGGACAAUGGUUUGGAUGCCGUUGUGGAAAGUUUUUUCGGUGUGGGAUGAGCUCGCGGCCUAUCAGCUUGUUGGUGGGGUAAUGGCCUACCAAGGCGUCGACGGGUAGCCGGCCUGAGAGGGUGUACGGCCACAUUGGGACUGAGAUACGGCCCAGACUCCUACGGGAGGCAGCAGUGGGGAAUAUUGCACAAUGGGCGCAAGCCUGAUGCAGCGACGCCGCGUGGGGGAUGACGGCCUUCGGGUUGUAAACUCCUUUCGCUAGGGACGAAGCGUAUUUGUGACGGUACCUGGAGAAGAAGCACCGGCUAACUACGUG